UGUGACGUAAAGAGGGGACACAAGGCAGGUGCUUAUCUCUCGGCAGUCAAAGGCACUGGAUGUCAUAUCAUGGGAACUACCUUCCAAAGAAACAGCUUUAGUGUUUCCGUUCAGCACACAAGGGAGGAGAGAAAUAUAAGUUUUGGAAACGAACAAAAAAGGUGGCCAUUGCUAUUCUGCUAUAACAUCAACCAAGCCCUCAAUUUUGUGAGAUUCCUUGAAAGAUUGUGAAAAGUCCAUUUUACGUGGCCGUGUGCUCAUACCAAGUCUAAGGAAACUAGACCUGAGGGUGAUGUUUGGAGUUUGAAUUAACGCCCAACUUCUGAGAGGAGGCUGCUGGGCAUUUGCACCGGACGAGUCC